CUGGUGCCGCUCAGGGACGGCUCGCCGCCGUCCCACACCACCACGGGCAGCUCGUACAGCUCCUGCGUCAGGUGGUUGAAGCGCCGCCGCCGGGCCACGAUGUACGCGGUGCUGUCUGCGACGGCGACACAAGGUUUCAAGCGUCCGUUGACGACCGACCGGGCGGACGCUCCGGAUAUCCUCCAACUCCCCCGCGAGCACGCGCCCAACCGACCAGCCCGAGCGUCAUUCGCUGCGGUUUUACGCACGCCGCACGCAGGAGGAAGAAGAGCGUCUGCCUUCCUCCUCAUCACGAUAAUGAGCCGUGAAAAAGAGUCUUCUUCAUCGUAUUUCACGGAUGUCUGGCGCCGCGUUGCCGCUUCCGGGCCCGUUUUGGCGCGACACCGGUGGGGGAGGUGGCUUAUACGAGUAUGUGCUGCGGUCUGCUAGGAAGUGCCGGAAAAAGCUGUAGCCCCACCGCCUCUAAAGGGGAAAAAAUGUGUAGGAUGUUCCUCUCCGCUGGAUCUUGACGGACUGGACGGAUGGAUUCUUCUAUAUUUUACUCCAGGAGGAAUAGUCUUGAGCCGCUUAUCCUCACAAGAGCGCUGGAGCCAAUCGCAGCCGUCAGGAAAUCACGUUCGGUAAAAUAUUUUAGUGCUUAAAAUAACGCCAAUGUUGAGAGUUUGU